ACAUUCAGAAAAUGCUGCUACAAGAUACAAUAGCACUACUAGCACACACGAAGCUAGUAUGUCGGCAUGAUCAUCGAGCGGCCAUGAUCGCUGUACGUCUUGUGCAGUAAAAUGCGGGGCUCAGCAAGAACCAUCAAAAGGCCAGGAUCUAUCUUUUUUUUUUACAGAGUACAGUCAAAGUCGCUGACACGAGCAUACACCCACCCCUAUGAACGCAC
rnacentral:lncRNA from 1 species